AGCAAGCGCACGAAGGCGUACACGGCGGCCGAGGACAAGCUUCUUUGCGAGUGUUGGCGAGAUAUUAGACAAGACCCCAAGACGGGCGCCGAGCAAAAGCAUUCAACCUUUUGGAUUCGUGUUCACCGAGAGUUUCAUGAGCACAAGAAGUUUCCGCCUUACCAAUUUGUGAGCACGCGCGGGUGGGUCUCCAUUUUCAAGCGGUGGAGGGUGAUCCAACAAGAGUGCAACAAGUUUUGCGCUACUCUUGAGAGCGUCAAGGCCCGCCCCGUGAGCGGCAUCGCCAUGCAAGACAUGGUAUGCUAG
rnacentral:rRNA from 1 species